GCCUAAAAAAGUUUAAUAUAUAAUCACAUGAGUCAAUUCGCUUUCUAUGACAGAUUCAUAAUUUCUUUAUUUGUUUAAAAUAGUUGGACGAGAAACAUGCUGUUCAUGGUCACUGGAGCUGCAUGGGUACAUAAAGUGCUGUUUGAGGAUCACCCCGACGCCGAAUACGAGACAGGACCAAGUGAUCACGGAGAGGAUCUCGGUUUUGGACUAAUCUCAGAGUGAACUUUUCUGGAAAAAAAUAACGUUAAACCGAAACCUGGAAGCUAGCUGACUGCCAGACGGAUCUCGGAGUUGGCGGAUCGCAGAGCUGAACUUCUCGACGGAAAAAAUAACGUUUGAACAGAACUGAAACGCCUCCCGAACCGGCAGAUAACGGUGACAAAUUUCAACGCAGAGGAACCAAGAUGUCACAAGAUAUGGGGACAACGAAGAGACUGAAGUUUUGUCUCUCUCUCUCUCUCUUUCGACCAUCCAUGUUUAUGUAGCCGAGAUAUUAACGAGGAACCAUCAAUGUUCCUAGUUAGUUCCUUUUGUUAUGUUGCCUCAACACAAACGAGCUAACAUAAUCGCUCUUUAGUUUAAAAGAUAUGAGGAACACGAAGAGACUGAAAUCAUAUCUCUUUCCAAUAUCCUAGUUUAUGUAGCCUCGAUAAUAACGAUGAACCAUCAAUGUUCCUAGUUAGUAUAUUUCUUAACUAUUAUGUUCCUUCUUUCACUUUGCUUAUGUAGCCUCAAUAUUAACGAGUUAACAUAAUUUCGCUUAAAUUUAAAAGAUAUGAGGAACACGAAGAGACUGAAAUCUUAUCUCUUUUCAAUAUCCUAGUUUAUGUAGCCUAGAUAUCAACGAAGAACCAUCAAUGUUGCUCGUUAGUAUGAUUCUUAAUUAUACUGUUCCUUCAUUUACCUAGUUUAUAUAGUCUCAAAACUAAUGAGCAAACAUAAAUUCUCUUUAAUUUAAAAAAGAAAACUAGCUCCCACGCAUGUAUUUUGAAACAUGCACAAAGUUCUUUUUAGCACCUUCUAAUAUGCGACAACACAAACUGUGUUUGUAAUAAUUCUUAGUCUUAUUGCAUACAGAUAUGCUACCUAAUUAUAAAUAAUGUAGUUAGUUUUUUUCUUUUGAACUGCUGCCUUAUCAAUACUUAAAUAUAAAUGUAUCAUUAAUUUUGGCAAGGGGGAAAA